GCGGAGGUACCCAAGUCUGGUCAACCGGGCCUUUUUAAGUGCUUUCGCCAGUUCAAAUCUGGCCCUCCGCA
rnacentral:tRNA from 1 species